UACGGAGGGUGCAAGCGUUAUCCGGAUUUAUUGGGUUUAAAGGGUACGUAGGCGGUGGAGUAAGUCAGUGGUGAAAGCCAACAGCUCAACUGUUGAACUGCCAUUGAUACUGCUUCACUUGAGUGCAGUUGAGGUGGGUGGAAUUCCAUGUGUAACGGUGAAAUGCUUAGAUAUAUGGAGGAACACCGAUAACGAAGGUAACUCACUAAACUGUAACUGACGCUGAGGUACGAAAGCGUGGGAGCAAACGGG
rnacentral:rRNA from 1 species